GGAAGUAAAGUCGUAACAAGGUCUCCGUAGGUGAACCUGCGGAGGGAUCGCUACAGAGUUCAUGCCCUACCGGGUAGAUCUCCCACCCUAUGUUAUUAUUACUUUGUUGCUUUGGCGGGCCGUUAGGCUCCGGCCCGACUACCGGCCCCGGCUGGUAAGCGCCCGCCAGAGGACCCAAAACCCUGAAUAUUAGUGUCGUCUGAGUACUAUAUAAUAGUUAAAACUUUCAACAACGGAUCUCUUGGUUCUG
rnacentral:misc_RNA from 1 species